UGGCGGACGGGUGAGUAACGCGUGGGCAACCUGCCCUGUACAGGGGGACAACACUUAGAAAUAGGUGCUAAUACCGCAUAACGGGGGAGCCGCAUGGCACCCCCCUUGAAAACUCCGGUGGUACAGGAUGGGCCCGCGUCUGAUUAGCUGGUUGGCAGGGGUAACGGGCCUACCAAGGCGACGAUCAGUAGCCGGCCUGAGAGGGCGGACGGCCACACUGGGACUGAGACACGGCCCAGACUCCUACGGGAGGCAGCAG
rnacentral:rRNA from 1 species